ACACGUAGGGGGCGAGCGUUGUUCGGAAUCAUUGGGCGUAAAGGGCGUGCAGGCGGUCCUGCAAGUCCGGCGUGAAAGACCCCGGCCCAACCGGGGGGACGCGCUGGAAACUGCAGGGCUUGAGUACAGGAGGGGAUGCCGGAAUUGCAGGGGGAGGGGUGAAAUCUGUAGAUAUCUGGAAGAACACCAAUGGCGAAGGCAGGCAUCUGGCCAUGUACUGACGCUGAGACGCGAAGGUGCGGGGAGCAAACAGGUUUAGAUACCCUGGUAGUCCGCACAGUAAACGAUGUGCACCAGGUGGCGGGGGGUCGACCCCCGGUACCGUAGCUAACGCAUUAAGUGCACCGCCUGGGGAGUAUGCUCGCAAGGGUGAAACUCAAAGGAAUUGACGGGG
rnacentral:rRNA from 1 species